rnacentral:rRNA from 1 species
UACGAAGGGGGCUAGCGUUGCUCGGAAUCACUGGGCGUAAAGGGUGCGUAGGCGGGUCUUUUAAGUCAGGGGUGAAAUCCUGGAGCUCAACUCCAGAACUGCCUUUGGUACUGAAGAUCUUGAGUUCGGGAGAGGUGAGUGGAACUGCGAGUGUAGAGGUGAAAUUCGUAGAUAUUCGCAAGAACACCAGUGGCGAAGGCGGCUCACUGGCCCGAUACUGACGCUGAGGCACGAAAGCGUGGGGAGCAAACAGG